UUUCAACACUACUAUAUAACAAAUAAUUUGAGCAAAAUGUCAAGCACAGUACCAGAUUAACCGAUUGGAGCGGAGAGUUGCGGAUCAGUGGCAGCAGACUAUCGUCCAAUCAUUCCUCUAGUCGUCAACCGUGUGACACUACAGACAGUCGAUGGGUGAUAACAGAUAAUUGAAACCGGAAUAUCCCACAUUUUAUUCCAUCAGCAAGCAUGGUAGAGCACCAAACGAUGAUGAAUGAUGACAUGGAAAUAAUGUUUCUAAUUCAGUGAAUAACCCACAAUGAAGAUACAUCGGACAAAUCACUUCUUAUAAUAGUUCUCUGCCGAAAAAACUAAACUUUAUCUUUUCGUAUCAACCAAAGAAACAUUUCUUAUUACUAAAAUGUCAAAACUGCCAAAUAUUAAUUGUAUAAUAGAAUAUUAUGCUCAUUUGGAGAAAUAAAGACUUUAUUUGUAGAAAUUUGUGUUAAAAACCGACAACGAUUAAGUGAGAUAUAUUUGCGCCAGAUAUGUAAUAUUUUUAUCGGCGGACUGAUUUCAAUAUGGUAUCUAUUGUGAUUUAAGACAUCAAUUUUGAGGAAAAAUUUUAAUAUGUACGGUUAGAAAAUCAUUUCAGCUUUCUACACUUAACUGCACAAUUUUUGUAUUGUGUCUAUCAGCCAAGAAAUUGUUUAAUGAAGACAAAAAUUAUGGGCGCAAAUUCGUUCAAUAUUACCAAAUGCGCGGAGGUUUCUUUUUACCAUUUUAACAGAUUUUAUCCGAUUUUUAAAAUUCUUUCUGUGUGAUCAUGUGUAAACCUUUAUGAAUA